rnacentral:rRNA from 1 species
UACAGAGGGUGCGAGCGUUAAUCGGAAUUACUGGGCGUAAAGGGCGCGUAGGCGGUUAUAUAAGAUAGGUGUGAAAUCCCUGGGCUUAACCUAGGAACUGCAUUUAUGACUGUAUGACUUGAGUAUUGUAGAGGGUAGUGGAAUUUCCGGUGUAGCGGUGAAAUGCGUAGAGAUCGGAAGGAACACCAGUGGCGAAGGCGGCUACCUGGACAAAUACUGACGCUGAGGCGCGAGAGCGUGGGGAGCAAACAGG